rnacentral:rRNA from 1 species
GCGCAAAUUACGGAGAGGGAGCCUGAGAAACGGCUACCACAUCUAAGGAAGGCAGCAGGCGCGCAAAUUACCCAAUCCUAAUACAGGGAGGUAGUGACAAGAAAUAACAAUACAGGACUUUUUGGUUUUGUAAUUGGAAUGAGUUAAGUAUAAACCCCUUUACAAGUAUCAAUUGGAGGGCAAGUCUGGUGCCAGCAGCCGCGGUAAUUCCAGCUCCAAUAGCGUAUAUUAAAGUUGUUGCAGUUAAAAAGCUCGUAGUUGGAUUUCUGUUAAUAAUUUAUAUAAAAUAUUUUGAUGAAUAUUUAUAUAAUAUUAACAUAAUUCAUAUUACUAUUUUUUUUGAAAUUUUACUUUGAGAAAAUUAGAGUGCUUAAAGCAGGCAUAUGCCUUGAAUACUCCAGCAUGGAAUAAUAUUAAAGAUUUUUAUCUUUUUUAUUGGUUCUAAGAUAAGAAUAAUGAUUAAUAGGGACAGUUGGGGGCAUUUG